rnacentral:sRNA from 1 species
UAAAUGGUUUCAGUACCGCGUGGUGAGG